rnacentral:lncRNA from 1 species
GGGGGUUGUAUAUAGUAUAUAGAGUCAUUCAUGACUCAUGUAUUUAGAUUGGAAAAAUGUAUCUUUUACAAGGGAAUUUAUAUUGUAUAAAACGAGUUUUUAUUAAGUAAUCAUGUUAGUAUUAAUUUGUAAAGAGGAGUGUAAUACCUAGAACUAAUAUUCUAUAAAUUAAAUUGUAAUUAUUCGUUGCGUAUUUUGAAAAAGAUUUAAUAAAGGUAGAAUUACUUAAAUAAUGGGUUCGGGUG